CAAUCUAGUUCUGCUUGGUUGUUGCAGAAGAGAAGAAAGCAAGUGCACGAGUCCCAUAGCUAUACUCCAGCUACCUAAGGGUCAAUCAGAAGAGUUUGGUCGAUGUGCAUGCAAAUUCAUUUACAAAAAGAUACUGGUCAAUUUAUCGAUGAUAGAUCUAUGCAGAUACAU